AGUAACAUUCAUUCAGAAAACAUUUUUCCAACACACAUUAUACACAGAGCUCUUUGUUGGGUGAAGAAUUAUUUUACUAGGACCAGACUAUGAUCUCAAUGGUUUCCAUUCUCUGAUAAAGGGUUGAUGAUGUUGACAUCCUUUCUAUUCCUUCUCAAGCUGUGCAGUUCUUAUCUAUGACCUUACACGAAUAUCCAUAAAGAAUAUACCUAUCUUGUUGAAAUUCUUCCUCAGACUCUUCUAUUAAUAAUUCAUAAUUCUAUAGUACUUUUUGGACUAUCUGUGCAGGUAUUUUAACACACAUUUUUUUUUUCUGAUGAAGAAAUGGUGGUUGGAAGAAAUUGAAGUCACUUGACUAUUAUGAACCAAAUAGUUCUCUAAUAAUAACAGCAGCAAUUCACAUUAUCCAAGACCAUCAGAUUUUCUAACAACUUUUCUCUAAAUUGGAGUACAGAGUACUUUUUUUUUCUAUUCACAAGGAAAAAGCUCCAGUCCAUCUUUUAAUUUUUUUUUAAAAUUUUUUUUUUUUUUUUUUUUUUUUUUUUUUUUUUUUUUUUUUUUUUUUUUUUUUGUUUUU
rnacentral:lncRNA from 1 species